GAGCUCUCCAAGUUGGGGGGGUGGGGGGGCAGAAAAGGGCGAAAGAACUAUCUCACCCACAGAGGGGCGAGGGCGCCAGGAGAAGCACGAAGGAGGACGUUUGGGACAACAGCACCAAUGUUACCUCUGGGCAGCCUUCUCUGACACCCUUGAGGUCCUACUAGACCCUGCCACGGCUUCAGCUGCGCUCAUAGGGAGCCAGUGUGCCCGAGGAAGCCACCACCAAGUCUGGAUGCCAGAGGGUUCCAGCCUCAGGGCGUUGCUGGUUGUACACAGUCCAGCCACUGAUCGCUGAAGCCUGGCAUGUACUUAGUGAGCCAGCUGCCAGCCCCACUUCAAAAGUGAGGAGAAGACUCCUUUGUCCCAGCCUCCGGGAACCGCUUGCCUGGGGUCCACUUUUGCGCUCUAGAAGCAUCAUCGUAAAACUGAUCCUUAGUGUCCCAGUUUUUUUUUUUUUUUUGGAAAGACUGCUUCCUAUUUAAUUGUAAAAUCUCCUUUCCUUCUCUUGUUUCCUGUAGUGUCCAAAAGGGUAAGCUUUUGAAAGUUCAAGAGGCUCAAAGAGACCUGUAUAAAGUUGUUCUUUCUCUUCUCACUAGAAGAAACAUCCUCUCUGAAAUGGAACCUUAUGCCAUGUACAUCCUUUCUGAAUAUGGGAGAAGGUGUUUUCCCUACUCUCCCCAACCCAGUAUACAAGCCUCAUCCAAUCAGCAAAUUACCAACAAGACUCCUAUCCCACUCCUUGUACCCUGGGUAUAAAAGUGGACUAAGGACUCCUGUUCAACAUCAACAGUGAGCUGGCUCACUGUUCUAACAGCAUCUCCCACUCUAAUAAACUUUAUUUUCCCUUUCAUUCUGGUCUCAUGUCUGGAAAUACUUUUCCAACCCGUGCCUGGACCACGACAAUUAUUUCUCAGACUAAUGUCUACAAAAAAAAAAAAGAUGCAAAAAUAUUUCUCAAACUAAUAUCUACAAGAAAAAGAAAUGUAAAAAGGCAAAAUGGUUGUUUGAGGAAGCCUUACAAAUAGCUGUGAAGAGACUAGAAGUGAAAGGCAAAGGAGAAAAGGAAAGAUAUACCCAUUUGAAUGCAGAGUUCCAAAGAAUAGCAAGAAGAGAUAAGAAAGCCUUCCUCAGUGAUCAAUGCAAAGAAAUAGAGGAAAACAACAGAAUGGGAAAGACUAGAGAUCUCUUCAAGAAAAUGAGAGAUACCAAGGGAACAUUUCAUGCAAAGAUGGGCUGGAUAAAGGACAGAAAUGGUAUGGACCUAAUAGAAGCAGAAGAUAUUAAGAAGAGAUGGCAAGAAUACACAGAAGAACUGUACAGAAAAGAUCUUCACAACCCAGAUAAUCACGAUGGUGUGAUCACUGACCUAGAGCCAGACAUCCUGGAAUGCGAAGUCAAGUG
ensembl:lncRNA